UCCCGUAACGAGCGCAACCCUUGUCCUUAGUUACCAGCACGUUAUGGUGGGCACUCUAAGGAGACGUGCCGGUGACAAACCGGAGGAAGGUGGGGAUGACGUCAAGUCAUCAUGGCCCUUACGGCCUGGGCUACACACGUGCUACAAUGGUCGGUACAAAGGGUUGCCAAGCCGCGAGGUGGAGCUAAUCCCAUAAAACCGAUCGUAGUCCGGAUCGCAGUCUGCAACUCGACUGCGUGAAGUCGGAAUCGCUAGUAAUCGUGAAUCAGAAUGUCACGGUGAAUACGUUCCCGGGCCUU
rnacentral:rRNA from 1 species